UUUUUGUUAAGGCAAGAAACACAUUUAUUGAGAGCACAAUGGCUGUGCCAAGCCCCCAGGUGGGGCACUUCCAAACCGCGUCACACGCGCCUCACAACAGCCCUGUGAGGUAGGGGUCUGCGCCCAUUUCACAGAUGCGGACGGCGAGGCGCGGCGCUCCCACGUCUCAGGGUUCAGGAGGGGUUGGGUAGGGGUCAAGCCCGUGGGUCUGACACUCAGAUCAGCGAAGUCCACCAGUCAGAGGGCGGGCGGCCACCCAGGGGUGGCGGGGAGGACACGCCCCUCCUCGCAGGGGGCCGCCCAGGUCCAGAGUCUUUGGGAACGUGUGCAGGUGUCCCCGUGGCUGCAGAGGCUGAGAGAGACACAGGUGCAGAUGAAGGCCGCCCGCGCCCCGGCUCCCUGGCUGACGAGGGUUCUCAGGCGGACGGGCCACCCAGGAGGCGAGGGGAGGAGAGCAAGCCUGCUCUGCUUAGGAGCCUGGACAACACAGGGCGGGGGCGCAGCUGCGCAGGGGCAAGGGGAGCACCCAGCCACCACUCCUGCCCUCUACCUGAUGCCUCAACUCUGGCGUCCCAUGAGUCACCCCCGCUCCCCGGCAGAGAUUUCCUGAAGCAUGACCCCUCCCACACCAGUGAUGGCUAUCGCCUCACUAACCAAAAUUCAGAACUCUACUGCAAUAACACAUAAAAAAAUGAAGGAAAAAAAAAAACACAAAAAAUAUAAUAAUAGAGAAAAGACUACAUUUAUUUCUGAAAUAAAAAAAAAAAAAACCAGAACUCUUGUCCUUUCUAAAAUCCAACCCAACCCAGCUCUCAUAUCCAACCCUGCUAUCAAUUAAAUUUGGGUGUUUUCUAAAACAUCAGCUUCCAGAGUUCCUGUCGUGGCUCAGUGGAAACAAAUCUGACUAGCAUCCAUGAGGACACAGGUUCUACGCACUCCUUUUUCUAUCGUUUUAAUUCCAUUUUCCUCUUUCUAUUUCUCCCUUGCCCUCUCGCUUCCUGACACGCCCUCGUUCUUCCAAACUCAGGGGCACAGAGGGACGAACCAGGGUCCCGUGUUCAACAGCCUCCCGUCCCUGGUCCACACAGCACACCCCUCACUCGCUCACUCACGGACUCACUCCAUCAUUCACUCACUUUGCCCCUCCUUCCUCCCUUAUGCUGGGCACUCGUUUAUGCGGUCAUCUCCUGGGAAGUACUCUCAUGAGUCAAAAGGCCAAUAAUCUGAUUAGUGAUCAUCACACCAUGUAUUUAUUUGCGUCUGCAAAUCCUUCUCCCGCCUUUCAUCACCGGUCACAUGCUGGUAUUUACGCUCUCACUCGCGGGCCUCAAUUGCGUAUAUUUUACGACCCAAAGAUAAUAAGAAAAGGCUGGAGAUCGCAGUCUUGUCGUUGGGCCGGGUAUGUCCGCUCGUUUUCAUCUAUUCUGGGAAAGGGGUCGGGAAUUCACCUCCUUAAGAAGCGCGGGUGUAAACAAAUGACAAUCGCUGCUCAGACCACCUGCUUCACUAACCACGUACCACCCUGGCUGCUGGAUUAGCAUCUUCCCUUUGUCCGUUCUCGCCUCGUUUUUCGUCUCUCCGUUUUCCUGGGCCCUAGAAAAGGGGCCUGGAUGGUUUGCAUCCGUCAUGAAGACUGAGGGCGACCCUGACCCGUUCCUCUCAGAGCCCCUCUGGGACGCGCCCCCCCUCCCCGGGCUGUCUAGUGGUUCCCUCGCCACCAGCCCUGCUCUUCCGCUUAGUUCCACUCUGCCUUCCCCUCC
rnacentral:lncRNA from 1 species